CAGGUUUACCUGUGUGACUGCGUACCUUUUGUAUAAUGGGUCAGCGACUUAUAUUCUGUAGCAAGGUUAACCGUAUAGGGGAGCCGUAGGGAAACCGAGUCUUAACCGGGCGUUAAGUUGCAGGGUAUAGACCCGAAACCCGGUGAUCUAGCCAUGGGCAGGUUGAAGGUUGGGUAACACUAACUGGAGGACCGAACCGACUAAUGUUGAAAAAUUAGCGGAUGACCUGUGGCUGGGGGUGAAAGGCCAAUCAAACCGGGAGAUAGCUGGUUCUCCCCGAAAGCUAUUUAGGUAGCGCCUCGUGAAUUCAUCUCCGGGGGUAGAGCACUGUUUCGGCUAGGGGGCCAUCCCGGCUUACCAACCCGAUGCAAACUGCGAAUACCGGAGAAUGUUAUCACGGGAGACACACGGCGGGUGCUAACGUCCGUCGUGAAGAGGGAAACAACCCAGACCGCCAGCUAAGGUCCCAAAGUCAUGGUUAAGUGGGAAACGAUGUGGGAAGGCCCAGACAGCCAGGAUGUUGGCUUAGAAGCAGCCAUCAUUUAAAGAAAGCGUAAUAGCUCACUGGUCGAGUCGGCCUGCGCGGAAGAUGUAACGGGGCUAAACCAUGCACCGAAGCUGCGGCAGCGACGCUGAUGCGUUGUUGGGUAGGGGAGCGUUCUGUAAGCCUGCGAAGGUGGCCUGUGAGGGUUGCUG
rnacentral:rRNA from 1 species